CCUUCAUCGAUUCUCGGAUCGGCCAUCGCCAGCUUAAACCAAAAACUCCAUUUGUUGCUUGAUUAAUUUUUCUGUAAUCUCUCAAAGAUUCCAUGCCGGCAUAGGCAUUCGGCGGCGAUUUCUCCGAUGAAGUGAAACUAAUCGAAGUAAGUUUAUGGUUGCAAAAUCGAUGCAGAAUGUUUGUUACCAUUCGCAUUCAGAUGGAGGAGUUCAUUUGUGUGACUGGAAGGCGGCAGAUUGAUCGAAAUCGGAACUUUCGAGAUAGUUACAGUUUCAUGAACUUUUUCUUGUUCAAUGCUGCAUCUUCCUCGAAUACAUGUGCUUGGUGUUCCUCCGAUUCAACCUGUGCAACACGCAUAGGUUGUAGAAGUACAAUUGAUGGAGCAGUAUGGGUUAACUCUUCUCCUGAAUGGGUGAAGCUUGAAUUAUUGAAAUGGUCACUCGCUUCCUUUGUAAGAUGCUUAAGAAUACCUUUGAAUUGCUGGGUGUCAAGAUUUGACUUCAGUUUCUUUGUCUCAGCCAUCUCCAUGCUAAACUUAGGCCUCUGGCGAUCUGAAAUUUUCUCAUCAAGAAACUGUUUGUGUAGAUUUUCAUGCAUUUGCUUUGAUUGAGGUUCUAGACCCAUUAGCUUUGCAAUCAAAUUUUUGGUAUUAACGUUCUUUGCUGGGUUUGGAGCAGUGUGGUACACCAUUGAAGAUUGGCUAGAGCUUGUGGAUGCAAGAUCUGAAGAUGAGUUUUCCAUACUACUUUCAGGAAAACUGCUUCUUUCAGCCUUGUUUGUUGUAUUUGGAAAGACGAGUUGUCUUGCAAGGCGAUCUCGGAUCAUCUUCUUCAGUUCCUCAGCUCCAUCUCCAUAAGAACAAUCAGCCGAAAGCCGGGGUUUUUGAAAUUCAUUUCGGCCAAUUGUUCUUCUUUCUAUCCGUUCAUUUUUCUUCUCCUGAGUCAUAUACCUUGAAGCUUCCUGCAGUUUACCUAGAAUAACCAAGGACUGCUGCAAAUCAAGAGCUCCUAAAAAUAAAUCUCUUGCAAUUUGGUCAGACUGUCCAUCACAUUUCAUCUCGUUAGACCACCGAUCAAUUGUCCGAUUCAGCUUCUGAGUUCCUCUCGACACUUUCAUGAGUUGAGAUGAGGAUGAACUACUGAACUCAUCUCCUACUUCUUUGAUGGUUGUUUGCUGUCUUCGUAACUUACAGUCCGAAAAUUCGUAAAAAUUCUUCCUAGCUGUCCGACUUUUGAUCGGCUUCUCCAUUUUUGAUGAAGCAACUCUCCUUCUCCUGACAGUGUUCUUAUCAACUAUGCCUUUUGGAUCAUUACAAGUUAGAAACGAGUUGUAAAUUCUUGAUCUUAGCUUGUCCUGAGGCAUAUCUUAUUGAUUGAGAUCGCAUGUACAUUGCAAAGCGGACUCAGAUGCUAACAUUACUGAUAUUGCACGAACCAUUUCCAAGAACUCCUACACAUAACUCUCGCAUGGUUUUGGAUAUCAUAAUAGUAAUUUCAGGCUCUGUGAGAAAGUUUUAACCUGUUUGCCUCUGUACAUAAGAAAAAUCCAGGAAAAUGAAGCAGAAGUGUUGAACCAAAAUAAAGAAGAAAAGAAGCUGAAAAGCGGUAACCUUAAGGAUAUGGAGUGGCGGCAAAGCUCUUGAUCGAUCAAUGCGAGUGAACUGUGCUUAGACGCUUCGUAGAACCGCACCAAUAGAGAGGAGCUGAUGGAUGUGUAGACUCAAUUGAAGGCAUUAGAAAGAAGAGGAAAAGGCAAUAAACAAAGACUGACCAACAUCACAAAGAAGUUUCAGAGCGUCGAACCGGAAGAAGCGAAUCGAACCCGAGCAGAACAGUUGCUGGCUUUGACAUAUGGAGAAAGAAAGAACAGUAAGUUCUGGUGCUUUUUUCUCUUAGUUUUCUGAGGAUUCUUAGAGAAACAUGAAAGUGCCAUUAAUGGCUGCUCUUGAUUUGGGUCGUAGCCAUUUCAAGAGUACUGUUGAAGCAAGCCCUGUAACGAGUAAAAGCAUGAAAAAGCUGAAGCUUCACACAAGGGAAACUGCCUUCAACUAGGUUAGUUGAAUUUAUUCAUUACAUUACUGUUUCUUACAUAUCUGCCUUGGAAUGUUUGGGCCAUUUGUAGCCAACAGCUACUUUAGGGAUCUCCAAAUAGAAAACCAAUAAUUUCAUGGUUUGCUCUCAUUCCAGCAAUGUGUAAUAAGAGAAGAAACUUUUUAAUUCUCUCCCAAUUAAUGAUUCAUGUGCAUAUUGAAUUAAAGAGAAUCAUUCCUUCUUUA